UGAGGGCUGCUGGCUGAGCGCCGGCGGGGCGCGACGCAGGGCUCUCCUCGAGGCCGGGGCCUUCAGGGGCCUCCCGAGUCAGCCAGGCCUCGUGUGUCGUCACCAGGUGCAAACGUAUUCAUCCACACAAACCAGUACGAUAAUUUAACUCGUCGAAACGGACGCAAUGAUCGUCCCUUUGACAGCCUCUGUGUUCAUCGCGACAACAGCAGAGCUGCCGCGUGCGAUGGCUGUAUGUUCUUGGGAGCUUGCCCGCGUAAUUCCUGUGCAUGAACUUGUUCGUGAGCCCCAUCACGUUUCCCUGGUGCCAGAGCCGCAUGAUUACUUCUGCCGUGUUCGUCCGGCACUGAAAGGAAUCACCUCAGUGACACUCUGGAGAAAUCUGUAUUCAUUAAGAUAACCUGAUAAGCCUUCUGGACACAAUAUUCAGCUGAGUUUGGGAAUAAUACCGAAGCACAGAUGUUCUCCUCCAGCUCUGGGCUUCUCACGGCAGUGUUGAAGAAGGCAGAGAACAUCCAACCAGGCUGAGUGUCGGUUGCCUCUCCCAGGGAGACCUGUGAAGUAGCAAACGGGCAAAAAGGAAUACUAAACUGAUCAUAGAAAAGUGUGAAUCAUACAUUUCCCUUCUUUAAUAAAGAAAAGCUCUCUUGGCUGAAGAAAUGAAGGAAUUAAUAAACUGCAGAUGUGAAACCAACAAUUCAGAAGGCGUGCUUACAUGCAGGAUUGAGUAGAUAGCCAUUUUCCAAAAGCGGUUGAUGCAGAUUAUAAAUGAAGGCCAAAAGGGACCAUCAGCUUAUCUAGCGCAAGCCUAUCUACCUAGCAGCCUGUGACCUACACCCAGCUUGCUGGAGAGUUCUGACUGGCUCCCCAAAUAGUUUUGAAAGCUGCUUAGUGCACUCAAACACACCCAGAUCUCCCACCGCAUUGUCCCACAUCAGGAUCAAAUGAUUCACCCAGGGAGAUGCAGAAUUCAGAUAGCUACAAUGUGGCCUUUUCUGGUCUCUUCUACUAAAACAAGUCUUAUGAAAUCAACUGCUCAUUCCUGUAGUGACGUCAAUCAUUUGCAAGAAAUCUCUGUAUCAGACAACUCGGCAUGUCUCCAUUGCACAAUGACUUGUUCUGUGCAUGAAAGGGCUUUACUGUCAUGCCUAGCGCAAGCCAGAUGUCCGCUAUUACGCAGCAGAAGAACAUUUCUGUAGAGCCCCCUCUAGUAGGUACCCCUAGUGAAACAAUACCAGUGACUGUUUAUAAAGUCUUAAAGGAAAAUAAAUACGGGUUGUGUCUC